GACGAACGCUGGCGGCGUGCCUAAUACAUGCAAGUCGAGCGGACGAUUCGAAAGCUUGCUUUUGAAUCGUUAGCGGCGGACGGGUGAGUAACACGUGGGCAACCUGCCCUGUAGACGGGGAUAACACCGAGAAAUCGGUGCUAAUACCGGAUAACACGAAAUGUCGCAUGACGUUUCGUUGAAAGGCGGCGCAAGCUGCCGCUACAGGAUGGGCCCGCGGCGCAUUAGCUAGUUGGUGAGGUAACGGCUCACCAGGGCGACGAUGCGUAGCCGACCGGAGAGGGUGAUCGGCCACACUGGGACGGGGACACGGCCCAGACUCCUACGGGAGGCAGCAGUAGGGAAUCUUCCGCAAUGGACGAAAGUCUGACGGAGCAACGCCGCGUGAGCGAAGAAGGCCUUCGGGUCGUAAAGCUCUGUUGUUAGGGAAGAACAAGUAACGUAGUAACUGACGUUACUAUGACGGUACCUAACGAGAAAGCCACGGCUAACUACGUG
rnacentral:rRNA from 1 species